GGCCGUGUGGCCCAAUGGCAAGGCGCUUGACUACGAUUAAAGUGGUAUCAAGAGAUUCCAGGUUCGACCCCUGGCACGGUCA